rnacentral:rRNA from 1 species
GUGCCAGCCGCCGCGGUAAUACGUAGGUCCCGAGCGUUGUCCGGAUUUAUUGGGCGUAAAGCGAGCGCAGGCGGUUAGAUAAGUCUGAAGUUAAAGGCUGUGGCUUAACCAUAGUACGCUUUGGAAACUGUUUAACUUGAGUGCAAGAGGGGAGAGUGGAAUUCCAUGUGUAGCGGUGAAAUGCGUAGAUAUAUGGAGGAACACCGGUGGCGAAAGCGGCUCUCUGGCUUGUAACUGACGCUGAGGCUCGAAAGCGUGGGG